UUUGGUUGCAUUGGGUCUUCGUUGCUGCACGUGGGCUUUCUCUAGUUGCGGUGAGUGGGGGCUACUCUUUGUUGCGGUGUGUGGGCUUCUCAUUGCAGUGGCUUCUCUUGCUGUGGAGCACGGGCUCUAGGUGCAUGGGCUUCAGUAGUUGUGGCGCACAGGCUUCAGUAGUUGUGGCUCGCGGGCUCUAGAGUGCAGGCUCAGUAGUUGUAGCGCACAGGUUUAGUUGCUCUGCGGCAUGUGGGAUCUUCCUGGACCAGGGCUUGAACCCGUGUCCCCUACAUUGGCGGGCGGAUUCUUAACCACUGCACCCACCAGGGAAGUCCCUCAUUAAUUUUAAAGAACAUUUUGAUUACACGUUGAAAGGACAAUAUUUUGGAUAUAUUGAGUUAAGUGAAUAUAUUAAGUGAAUAUAUUAAGAUUAAUUUUACCAGUUCCUUUUUGCUUUUUAAAAUGUGGUUAACAGAAAAUGUAAAAUUAUGGACGUAGCUUGCAUUAUAUUCUAUAGGACAGCCUGACCUAGAGGGAUGAGUUGCAUCAGUCUUUUCUGUGCUCUAGGCUGCUUGUGCUGAUCUUGUAGAGACGUGACCUAAAAUUACCUCUGACCGCAGAACACAUGCUGGCCUAUCAUCUUACCACAGAUGUGUCUGUUGGCCAAGGAGGACUUAAAGUGGGGAUGGUUCAGCAUAAACCCUAUCUCAGUACUGGAAAAAUUCAAAGUACCCGCACACUGAAAGACAGCAUACCUCCUCGCCUUUCUCCUUCAGUGACCUCAUUCUCUCUGCUACAGUCAACUGCUGCUCUGUGUUGCUGACUCCUGGAUAGACAUUUCUGGCCUGGCCUUGGCUGAUGAGUGACAAAGCCCAAGACGAAAGCUGUCUGGUGGACACUGCCAUAUGGCGAGCUCGUUCAUGCCUCAAAUUAAACUUGUCAAAACUGCUACUCAUCCCUUCAUUUAAAGAUGCUGAUUGUUGCCUCUCUGGAUUGCCAUUGAGACAGAGCUGUCCACCAUCAACAAUCCUCAGUAUUUAUGAAGAAUCUCAGCUGUUCAUACUUCAGUAUAAAUGAAGGCAUUUUGUAAUGACCUGCCUGGUGUUUUAGAAUCUUAUCUUCCCCACUGACCCUGACAUGGGGCAAAGAGGAGGGAAUUUAAAAAGUCCUAGCUAACUUGGAUGAGCACUUUGUCGUGGAUAACGUCUCUAUCUAGGUGUCAGCACUCCUGGUAUAUUCUGCUCCUCUUUGGACAUAUCAACAGAAAGAAACCUAGAGGUUUACUUGAUCAAGAACCUCAAUGAGUGAUGAGAACAUUUCCUGUUCUCCCAGACACUUCUAAUUCUUCCUGUUGCCACCUAUCUUCAACAGAAAAGCAACUGAUCAUGGAAGCAAGCAGUUGUCGCCUUGCCCUGCAUGAGGAUAGGGACCGAUGUCUGCACCAUCUCAUCCCCAUUUGCUGACUGAACGAACCUUUGUAAGAGUCUCCUGUUUUCUCUGAAGGGUAGCAGAAUAUGCUACUCCAAAAUAUGACUGGAGAAGGACGUGCUACUGCAAAAUAUGCUGCUUUGUUAUACUGAGUAUCUUGACUGUAGGCACGUGAAAAACAGCAAAUGCAGGGAGAGGCUUUCUCUGAACUCCCCUUAUCUGCCUACGGACAGAUCCUCCCAAAGGAACUCAACUGCCAUAAAUCCCCUUCCUGGGAGUUUCAUCAACCAGAGAGGCUUGACACUUGUCACAGGAGAGACUAGAAGUCAAUACCACGCCUAGACAGACAUUGUCACAGACUGUCACAACUCCCAUCUAUUCUUCUAAGGGGCCGUUCAUCUGUCCUUAAAAUCAUUCACUCUCCCCUAAGAGACCUACCACUCCCCUCCCCCUUCCCUAUUAAGAUGUUAUUUAAUCCCGAAUUCUAAGUCACCUUGGGGAUUCAUUUUUUCCCUGGGUAUCUCCCAUGUAUACCUGAGGGAUACAUUAAUAAAUUUGUUUGUUUUUCUCUUAUUAAUCUGUUUUUCA